UUUUGGACAAUGGGCGAAAGCCUGAUCCAGCAAUGCCGCGUGCAGGAUGAAGGCCUUCGGGUUGUAAACUGCUUUUGUACGGAACGAAAAAGCUUCUCCUAAUACGAGAGGCCCAUGACGGUACCGUAAGAAUAAGCACCGGCUAACUACGUGCCAGCAGCCGCGGUAAUACGUAGGGUGCGAGCGUUAAUCGGAAUUACUGGGCGUAAAGCGUGCGCAGGCGGUUAUGUAAGACAGAUGUGAAAUCCCCGGGCUCAACCUGGGAACUGCAUUUGUGACUGCAUGGCUAGAGUACGGUAGAGGGGGAUGGAAUUCCGCGUGUAGCAGUGAAAUGCGUAGAUAUGCGGAGGAACACCGAUGGCGAAGGCAAUCCCCUGGACCUGUACUGACGCUCAUCACGAAG
rnacentral:rRNA from 1 species